CACUUCUCUCUGGAAUGGGCAGGGGGAAGCAGACCCGGUACCCCCGGUACCGAUGCAGAUAGCGGCGUGUAAAUUCUGUUCUUUGCAAACCUAUGUAAUUCCGUGCCGAGUCGGUAAGUCGGGAAGUAUAGGGCAUACUGUCCCCAUGGUUGACAGUCCUUUAUGUAAUUUUUAGUUACUGGUCGGGUCAACGUUUCCACCUAUCUACUUCCAUCGUGUGUCCAUCUCUUUAUAGAUAUCAGUAUCAUAGACAAAAAAAAGCAAAAAAUAUUAGAUACAUCAGCCCAGCCGCAGGCUGUCAACAAGUGUGAUUGAUGUUGGGAAUUGUAAACAAUACCCUGAUACCAUCAUCAUCAUUUUUAAUUCAAAUAUAUUGACAGUUCUGCUUCUGCGGAUAACGGGACACGUGAUCAAACCUUGUUGCAUUUAGAUGGAUUGUCCAAUGUUAAUUGGCAAUUUGAGAAAGCCAAGAAUUUAUUGGUAUCAGACGGAUGCGGAAAUCGUGAUUCGUAUAAUGCUUCACGACGUGGACGAUUACUUUCUUAGCGUAAGAACAGACGAGUUUGAAUUCAGCACGUCUGUAGACGGCGUCGAUUACUAUAUUUACCUGCAUCUUUUUGGUGCAAUCACUGCCGAGAAAACUGUCCAUAAAACAACUGGAAGAGAAGUCACAGUUUACCUUCCAAAAGUUCAAAAGUGGACUCCCUGGCCAAGGUUAAUUUAUUCAAGAAAAGCAUGUCCACAUAUUUUUGUGGACCUUGAUCACCUUGCCUCAAUCAAACCCAAAAAAGAGAUUGAUUGGAAUGAGAGAGAAGACUUUGCUACCCUCAAACGAAGACAUAAUAUAUCCUAUAUAAGGCCAGAUGUACCAUCUUCGGAUGAAGAUGAGUCUGCUGGAGAGGAGAACAAUAUGAUUUUCGAUUUUUAACAUCUCUUGAAGUGGAUUAAUAGAACUAGGUUCCAAAUCUCAUUCUAAUGAGGUGUGAAGAGCAAUCUACUUGGAUUCAUUGAAGCAAACUAUUAAAAGCGUGGCUGUUCAUUAAUUGUGGCCACCAGCUUCAGCCCGAUAAAUUGUGAAACUCUGAAACGGUUAUAAAUUAGGUAGAUUCGGUCAACUUUCGGCCUUUCUUUUCUCCGAGUUAAUUUGUGAUAUUCUCUGUUCAUCCCGUAAGUAAGAUUUUUUACCUAGUUAAAAGUUAAGAAUACAGCCUAGCUGUUGUAUUUUUUUUUUUUUUUUUUUUUUUACAUUGUUUCUACGAAUAAAUGAAAAUUAUUAUCAAUAACUGUAUGCAUGGUAGGCUUGCCCAUAAAUUACGUGAUGUGAGUUUUUACGACCCCCCCCCCCCCUCGCCCGUUCAAAAUUGGAGAAUUUAUCUCAAAUCAUUAUAAUUGGAGGGUGAGAAAUUGGAAGUUUUAAUGGAUUUUAUAGACAAGAAACAUGUGUAUGUGUGGUAAUAUCAGUGACAUGAUCAGCACACACAUGAGUUUUCAGAACGAAAAGUUUUAUUGGACCGUUCACCUAUAAUAUUGUGUAAUAGCUGUGGCACGUCGAUCUGGCCAAAUGUGAUACACAACGUGUCAGGUUCGUGGAUAAUUUUCACCCAUGUCAUAUAGUCUCAGUUAUGUGUUACUCUUGUGCUCUUUCAAACAUUCAAAUAUGUUUUCUUAAACAUAUUAACAGAUGUCUUUAGAAAGAAAAUUUAGUGUUGAUGAGGACAGUCAUAGUUGUGCUAGCAUUGUGAAUAAUGAUUUGAUAGAUAUUUUUAAUAGCAAUAGUAACAGUGGUGAUAUUCAUGAAAGUGGCGAUAUUACUGCAAUUAGGUGCAAACAAAAAAUAAAUAGAAAUUCGAAAUAUAAUAUUUGAUAAUAUGUUUUGGGAAAAUAUUGUAACAGCAAUAAAGAAUAAACAAUGAAAAAAAAAGACGAAAAAUAGAAGAAACUUGGUUUCCUGUAGAUUAUGGUGAAAUAAAAAUAUAUUUUGUAUUAUGUAUAAUGGUGGCUCAAGUUAGGAAACCAAAAAUUUAAAUCAACUGGUCUAAUUGUAAACGGGCCUUGACAGAAAGCCUAAUAUUGAGAGAACAAUGCGAAUGAAAAGAUUUCUGCAAAUAACUACACUGAAACUUCCCAAUAGUGGACAUCUUCAGGACUGGAAAUCUUCUCCCUUAUAGAGAAGUGUCUGUUACUACGCGGUAUAUUUUCCAUUAGGCUUUUCUGCCUGGGAUUUCUAACUUGUCCGUUAUGAACAGGCGUCCGUUAAGAGAAGUUUCACUGUAGAUGUUUGCAUUUUGCAAAUAAUCAUAAACAGACAGAUAGAUAGGAUUCAUCAUGUUCAUGGCAAUGUUGGACAAGAAUCAGUAACAUAUGAGGUAUUCCACACCAUUUCACCUAAUCGGUGAAGGUCAUCGACGCCGAUCUUGGUGUCAAUUUUUUUCUCAAUUCGUCUAUCGAAAAAAAAGAACACGUGUUCGACCGUUUUUCGAUUAGGCCACCUGUGUCGAUUUUAUGAAUUUUCCGAUUUUUCAACUUUUUCGAAACAGACUUUUUCCAACUGGCUCUAUCUUCAAGAGCUUUCAUUCUUUUCAAAAAAUGAUACAAGUAUAAAAUGUGUCAAUAAGUCCAAGCUUUCUGAAAAAAAAAUUAGAAAAUUUUUCCAACCACACAAUUCUAAAAUUUUUUGAAUUGCGACACCAUUAAUUUUCCUGACACUUUUUACUUGCAUUCGACCAGUUACAAUCAAGUUUUCCUCCAAAGGAAAUUAUGGACUUCCGAUUCGUUCAGGAGUUACACCAUCAUAAGUGCCGAAAAAUUGGAAAAUUCAUAAAAUCGACACAGGUGGCCUAAUCGAAAAACGGCCGAACACAUGUUCUUUUUUUUUCGAUAGACGAAUUGAGAAAAAAAUUGACACCAAGAUCGGCGUCGGUGACCUUCACCGAUUAGGUGAAAUGGUGUGGAAUACCUCAUAUAGAGCAGUAACAAGAAAUAAAAUAACGAAAAAUCUAAAGGCAGGAAUAUUAAGGUAAAAAGAAAAAUAGAAUCAUACGGUUGUCACGAACAUUACGACUUACAUUACAGAUAAAUUACGCAAAAUAAAACUUGUGACGAAUGUUUUUAAUCUAUGAUCUAAAAAAGUGUAUCGAUGCAAGAAGACAUUGCUAUCAGUGAAUCGACAAUGAAAAUAACUAAGAAAACAGAUAAGGGACAAUAAUACCAGAGACGCUUAUCUUAUAAACAAUUUAAUCCAAGAAAACUAGUUAGAUAUGGUAUUAAAUUUUAUAAAUUAUGUGAUUCAGAAUCGGGUUAUUGCUGUGUCUCUAAAAAAAUACUCAGGUAGUGAUAAAAUAAAUUCUAAUGACAGUGAUUCUGAAAAUGUUGUUUAAGAGCUAUCACAGUCAGUGUUACGUAAAGGACAUAUUUUAUACUUAGUCAAUUGGUACACUGCACCAAAACUGGUUAUAACUAAUUAACAGUAAAACUAAUGCUGUCGGAACAGUAGAUUUGAACAGAAAGAAUAUGCCAAAUGAUUUAGUUGAAGCAAAAUUUAAAAAAGAAGAAUGCAGAACGAAAAGCUGCAAUGGAAUACUGACAUAAAAAUAUAAAUAUAAACGUGACAUUUAUAUUAUUUCUACGAAACACGAAACAGCAGAAAUGGCUGCAUAAGGCAAAAAUCAAUUCAAUCCUACUUCAAAACCCAAAGGUGUCAUUGAGUACAACAAAGGAAUGAUUGGACUUUAUCCACAAGACCAAAUGCUAGUGUGCUUCUCUGUUAUGAAGGAAUAUGCAAAAGGAUACUGAACAGUUUUUUUUUACAUGCUUGAUAUUGAACUUUUGAACUGUUACAUUUUGUCCAACAAAGUAAAUACUAGAGAAAAACAGAGCCACUCAUGCUAAGUAUGAAAUUGAAAUAGUCGAGUCAUUAAUGAAAAAUGUGCCGUUACCAGAAUAUAAACGAUGAGGGUGAUUUUUGAAUGGAGUUUUACCCCAGAGACUCCACACGCAACAUUGGGGUCAUUUUUUCAAGAAUAUAGACCCAACACCAUCGAAAACAAAGCCAUAAAGAGCCUGUAAAGUUUGUACAAGAUAUAAGUAAAAAAACGUAGCGAAACAACAUAGGAGUGCAAAAGAUUUAAAAUUACAUUGGAUGUACCAAUAUGCUUCGAAAGUUACCAUACAAUUGAAGCUUAAUAACUUUCUGUUACAUGUUUUUUAAAAUGUUUAUAAUUUAAUAUAAGCAUUUAUUCAGGAAUUUAAAUAAAAUGUUGUUGAUUUAUUAAUCUUUCUUUUUCACUGAUGAAUUGUUUGUAAUUAUUUAUCAAACACCUUAAGAAAUUAAACCGGUUGUAUCUUACACAUGUUUACAUAUCAUGAGACGUAUGCAAUUGGCAUAACUUCGAACAUUUAUCCAAACUGUAAAAUGGCUCAACGUGCAACCGACCUUGCUGUUUAUUAUAGCAUGGGCGAUCAGAACUUAAAUUGUAGGGCAAGGGGUUAAAUAUCGAUUUGAUUGAAAUGUUUACAUGCCUGUAUAUCAGGCGGAACUGCACAUCAUGAACCACCCGCUUUACUCUUUGCCUUCAUCCUUUUGCACGACUCGAGGAACGCUUGAUUUUUCAAUAAUUUGAAUCUUUUGUCAGUAGAACUAGAUGCAUAUUGUGCAUUCUCUGAAAGCAACGCUAAUUAUAGAGAACCCUUAAUUUGCUGUUCUCGUUGAUCUGUUCAGUCUCAUGAUGGCGAAAGGGUUAAAAUAUAGGGUGAUACACGUAUUUAGGUAUCAUUGCUACUACAUCAAAUAGAAAUAAAAUCUGGAAUGUUGAAAUUGUCUGUUCGAUUAAAAUCUAACGUCAUUGCAUGUGAAAUCUCAUGCAAAGAAUAGUGAUGAAAAAUAAAUCAACCUAGGGCGAUCUUUGUUUAAAAAAAAGGAAAAAGUACAAAAGUGUAUUUUAUAAUAUAAAGUCAGGAUUUUGCCGUACGCGUGAUUCAAUCAUGUUCGUACAAAUUACGUAUGUACAUACGAUUUACUCAGACCUAUAUACAUCUAUGCACGUAUUAAUUAUAUGCGUUGAAUAGAAAUUGAGAUAUUAAUCAGUUUGAUGCGCUUUGUGUGAAAUAUUAUUAGUAUUUUACAGAAUAUCGUCUGCUUCGUUUUUGACUAUUAUUUACAAGAUUAAAGCGAACUCUACGCAGUUUACUUGUCUUACAAAUCACCUGCAGACUAGUCGGCACCUUGCUUAAUUCACCAGCACUCUGUACAUCACGAAUAAAACGAUAAUGAAAUUUUCUUCCUUCGUUCUGAAAUAGUGAAUCUUUUAGCGUACCCACAGCAACGAACGGCAAUCACCGUCGAGUUAAUUAUUGCUACAUAAAGCUAACGAGAAGAACGGCACAGAUCAUAUCUACCACUGUCUACGAAUUCGUCUAUACCUUAGAUGUACGUAAAUUUGAACACACGGUUAAACGUUUACGGGUAAAGCGAAUUACCCGUUAAUCGUAUAGUCGUUGUACCUUCACUAUUAAGGCGGUCAGCCCAGUUAUUUGAACGAUAACUCGUUCCGGUUAGUCUAAUCAAUUACAAAUGUUAAAUUUCUAUAAUACAGCAUUUUUUAACAACCUUCCAGUGAAAGUCUUUGAUUUAUGUUUCCCACCCUAGUUUUUAUUUCCUUGAGGAUGUCCUCGGCCAGCUCAUCGACCGUGGUAUAG